GAGUUUGAUCCUGGCUCAGGAUGAACGCUGGCGGCGUGCCUAACACAUGCAAGUCGAACGAAGCACCUUUUGAGAUUCUUCGGAUGAUCGAUUGGUGACUGAGUGGCGGACGGGUGAGUAACGCGUGGGUAACCUGCCCUGUACAGGGGGAUAACAGCUGGAAACGGCUGCUAAUACCGCAUAAGCGCACGAGGAGACAUCUCCUUGUGUGAAAAACUCCGGUGGUACAGGAUGGGCCCGCGUCUGAUUAGCUGGUUGGCAGGGUAACGGCCUACCAAGGCAACGAUCAGUAGCCGGUCUGAGAGGAUGAACGGCCACAUUGGAACUGAGACACGGUCCAAACUCCUACGGGAGGCAGCAGUGGGGAAUAUUGCACAAUGGGGGAAACCCUGAUGCAGCAACGCCGCGUGAGUGAAGAAGUAUUUCGGUAUGUAAAGCUCUAUCAGCAGGGAAGAUAAUGACGGUACCUGACUAAGAAGCUCCGGCUAAAUACGUGCCAGCCGCCGCGGUAAUAC
rnacentral:rRNA from 1 species